rnacentral:rRNA from 1 species
UACAGAGGUCCCAAGCGUUGUUCGGAUUCACUGGGCGUAAAGGGUGCGUAGGCGGUCGGGUAAGUCUGAUGUGAAAUCUCACAGCUUAACUGUGAAACUGCAUUGGAUACUAUCCGGCUAGAGGAAUGGAGGGGAGACUGGAAUACUUGGUGUAGCAGUGAAAUGCGUAGAUAUCGCUUGGAACGCCAAUGGUGAAAACAGCUUGCUGGGAGUGUGCUGACGCUGAGACACGAAAGCCAGGGGAGCAAACGGG